AUUGAACGCUGGCGGCAGGCCUAACACAUGCAAGUCGAGCGAGCGGCGGACGGGUGAGUAAUGUAUGGGGACUGCCCGAUAGAGGGGGAUAACUACUGGAAACGGUAGCUAAUACCGCAUACUAUCGGAUAACCCAUAUGGGAUUGGCUAGUAGGUGAGGUAAUGGCUCACCUAGGCGACGAUCCCUAGCUGGUCUGAGAGGAUGAUCAGCCACACUGGGACUGAGACACGGCCCAGACUCCGACGGAGGCAGCAGUUGGGAAUUUUGCACAAUGGGUGAAACCCUGAUGCAGCCAUCCCGCGUGUAUGAUGAAGGCCUUCGGGUUGUAAAGUACUUUUGGUAGAGAGGCGGUAUCUGCAGAAUAAGCACCGGCUAACUACGUGCCAGCAGCCGCGGUAAUUC
rnacentral:rRNA from 1 species